ACCAAGAAAACCGAAAUUCCGUCUAUUUUCCUCUCUCUAUCUGACACCUUUGAUCAUCUGAGCUCUGACUCACCGAUUCGACUCGGCCAUGGCGGUUCAGUUCAAAUUCCGAAGCUCUGCGAAAUUCGAUUCCGUCGACCUCGAAGGUCGAGCCUCAAUCCCCGUUCGUGAUCUCAAAGCCAAAAUCAUCCACCACAACAACCUCAACAUCUGUCAAGAUUCCGAUCUCGUCUUCUCCGACGCCAUAACCGGUCAAGAGUACACUAACGAGAAUAUUCAAAUUCCGUGCGGCUCGUCCGUGAUUAUCAAGAGAGUUCCUGCAGGAUCGGCACAUGUGGAUAUGCCUCACUUCAACUGCAAGGAAGCUGGGAAUCCGCCGAAUGUUGAGACAGUCGACUUUGAUGACUUUGGGGUUGACGUGUAUCCCGUUCCCGAGGCAACCUUCGUCUGUUCUGGUUUGGAUGCAGACAAGGAUGCCCGCAGUCGGGGAUAUGAACCAAAUACUGGCAUCACAAGAUGUUUGGAGCCAGCAGUAGGAGGAUGUCAGAAACUUGAAGCAAGUGGGAUUAGUGAUGCUAUUCCAGGAAGUCAUUCGCAUGGUGGAGUUGAACAAAUCUUACCACAGACAAACUCAAAGCCUGAGGUUCAAGAAGACUUUAAUUUGGAAAAGAUGGGUUGUGAUCCCGUAGAUACAAAACAUGCUGAUAUGCCAUCAGAGAUGAAAUGCUCUCUAUGCAACUCGUUUUUCAAGGAGGCUGUGAUGAUACCCUGCUGCCAGCACAGUUUUUGUGAGAAAUGUAUACAUCAAAUGCUGCUUGAGAAGGCAAGAUGUCCCAAGUGUUUUUCAACCAAGUGCAGAAUUGAAGAUCUGCUACCAAAUAUAUCUCUUAGGCAAGCAAUGGACCAUUUCCAAGAGUCUCAAAAUUUAAUCACUGUUCCAGAUAAUGCUUUUUGCCAAUACGCUCCAGAUGGAGAAUCGGGAAUUCAGGCAAAAGAUGUCUCUUGUGGUGGUAGUAUUUUUCAAAGGGAGUCAGAGUUGCCUCACUCUCCUGAAACAGGGAUGGGAUCUAAUAAUUGCUUAGCAGAAUCUGCUUGUCACUCACCAUUCAAAAAUGAUGCGCCGUAUCAUUUUGGUGCAAGAAACGUGCAAAAAAUUCCCAAGUUUUCGCACAAGAACAAUCAAAUCGAUGGAGAUGGAUACGGUUAUACUCGUGUGGCUCCAUAUGGCUCGGCAGCUUUUGAUGAUUUCCAAGGGGAAAGCAAGCCUAUACCUAAGGAAGCUGAACCUGUAAUCAAGAAAAAGAGGCCACCUUGGGUUUAUACUGCAGGUGGUGGAAAAAGUUUUUUGGAGGGUGGGAGAAAUAGAAAGGGGGAUCGUGCCUGUUAUAUGUGUGGCUCCCCAGAUCAUUUAAUAAGAGUGUGUCCAGUUGCUACCAGUCCACGCCCUAUGCUUCAUUCAGGAAAUGCAGUCUUUCCAGGAGCUAUGCCAGGUUAUGUGCCACCAUACUGGGAUGGGGCUCUGUUGCCUCAUACCCCGCCCUUUAGAAAUCUAUACGGAAAUCAUGGGAUGACAGCUUUUGACACGUUGAUCCCUCACACUCCUUUUUCUGUUCAUCCAUACAUGCACACGCCAUCCAUGUAUAGAUCGAUUCCAGGCUUUGGUGGAUAUAUGGGAAUGGGAGGUGUAGCACCUCUUCCUGAAACUGGUGAAGACUGUUAUAUAAGUCGUUCAGAAUUUCUGGAUCUUGAAGGUCAAGAAAAGAGGAGAAAACUUUCAAGGGAGAAUUUUAGGAGAGAUCAAUCUUGUGAUGACGAUGAAGACCGGGGGAGGCAUCAGUAUAAUGGGAGUGCAAGAUUGCAAGAGCAUAAAUCUUUUGUAAACAGGGAAAAGAGUGUAAGCUACUCCAGUGACGGCUCUACUAAAAGGUCUCAGAGACAAGAUCGGCAUCGUAAUCAGAUAAAUGAUGACAACAUUCAUUUGGUUGGUCAUCGGAAGAGUUCUCAUUUGGUGGUUGGUCAUCAGGAUGGGAAACUGUAUAAUCCCACGGAGAAAUCAAGUUCAGAAUUAGAUGAUAUGCCAAGUAGCUCCAGUUGGCACAGUGAAGAGAAACACAAACAUUAUCAUAGAAGCUCCAGAAAGCAAAAUGAAAGAAGAGAGCAGUGUGACGGUGAUAAACACAAACACUAUGAUAGAAGCUCCAGAUAUCACAAGGAAAGAAGAGAGCAGUGUGGUAGUGAUUCUAGUCGGAGUCAUCAUCAAAAUAUCAUUGAGAAAGAUGAUAAGAGAAAGGGAAUUCAGCAUAAUAACAAAAGGCACAAACAUCACAGUAACUCGGGAUCUGAUUUAGAACACAGUGUUUCCAGUGAUAAGAAGCUACAGAAAGGGAGCAGUCACAAUUUUAGAAAAUCUGAGCACAAUGCAAAGUCUAGUGUUGAUGAGCGCAGUCAUGACAGAUGGAAAAUGGUUAGUGGGUCAGAUGAAGAUAGUGGAGAAGAUUAUCGGUACUGUAAACGGAAAAGGGUAAAAUGAUAGAAUCAGCAAGGCUGAUUUGUGAGAUCUAAUUGACUGGUCGGCUAUUGGAAGUAUUUUUCUAUUCAUAUCUGCUAACAUCUUCACUUUUUUAGUUUGAUCCUAGUGAGGAGGGCUAGCAAAACAAAUUUUUGAAACAGAGCCGCAGUGGUUAAUAUAGUCAUAUGGCUGAAUUCUGUUCUCUCCUCCCGAAUCUUACUCUUUGCCAAGACAUAUUGAAGCUGGAGAAGGUAGAUACAUGUCAUUCUUCUUCUAAAACACCAAACUGGUGCGAUAAUUUUGGUUGCUGCACCAAUACAAUGCAGCCCAGCACUACAAUUUUCACCAAGUGGCUGUUUCAAGAAGCUAGAUAGAAAAUAUGCAAGUUGC